GCGGGUAUGGUGAAGUGGUAUCACGAGAGCUUCCCAAGCUCUAAUUGCGGGUUCGAUUCCCGCUACCCGCU
rnacentral:tRNA from 1 species